AAGGCUGCUGAAUGAAUAGCAGUUUUCUGAAGAGCCCUGUAGAGGCACAGCACUUCAAAUUUUCCGCUGAAAACAACGGCAAUCUACCAUUCUUAUCAUCAUCAUCGUGUUGGGAAAUCGCAGUACAAAGAAGUCUCAUAAUGUGUGUCAACUCAGUACCCGGUGCUGAAGUGAAUGCCUUAAGUUUGUCCAUGGCCAUGUUUGAGUGUCUGGCUUAUUUCCUAGAUCAAAGAUGACCAGUGUGUCUGCAACUCCCAAGGACUGCACGUCCAACUGAGAUCGCAAGCAGCUUGCCCAAACCCAGGAGAACUUGGGGAAUGGAAAAAGAUGACUAUGAUAGGUUGUACAGGCUGUGGUUGUGGACGGGAAGCUUGAGAAAAGGAGACACAUCAAAAGGCCAGAUCACAAAUCCUACCACAUGGACGAGGCCUGGGUCUGCCUUUCCAGGGAAACAGAUGUGUCCGGGCUGGACCAACUCCUGAGAGCAAAACAGCAUCAGAUAUCAGGACGGAAUCACAAACAACAAAGUUAUUCUCCUAUCACUGACCCACUGCCCACCAUAACACAACUGCUAUGGGUUGGAUAUGUGAAGAGAACAGUUGACAGAAGGCUAUCCAGGCAGCUACUGCACGAUGAGCUAAAAUUGGAAAAUUGAAAGCAAGGAAAUCGGAAGAAAUGUUUAAAGGCUGUAGAAAACAGAACCUCAGCCAAGGAUACAUCAAAGCUGAAGAUUGGGAGUCGAUUGCCAUGCUGCUAUCAAGAAAAAGGAGCUCUUUUCAAGAAGAAACUUUGCCAGGUUCUUGAGACCAGGAAGCAAAUGCAAAAAACAACACUAGGUGCUGCAAGCCAGUAUGACCGUGCUGCGAGGGACAGUAUGUGUGUGCACAAUAUCGUCGAGACCGAGGAGGUUGCUUUGUCCAUUCCAGAUCCCUCCCUCCCUUCCCAUCCCCUCCACAAGUAUAGAUGCAUAUCACCAUCAGUAAUAUUUUCUUUGAGCAUGAAGGAUAUAAAUCUAUGUGUGUGUAUGUGUUUUGGGGGGUGUUUCUAACAACAGAAAAUGCGUGUUUCCUCUAUAGGCUUCUGCAUAUUUACAGAUUUAUUGUUGGCUGCGUUGUGGACACCCGAAGUGUGUUCUGGUGCCCAUACACUUCUCGCACUUACACACACAAACAUCCUCCAUUUCCUCCCUUGCACCCCAGUUUCUCUCCAGAGCCACUUUUUUAUCAUUAGAAAACAAAUAGGCCUCCCUUGGCUUUAACGGAGGAAUUGACACAGUUCUGGCCUCUUGAGCUGCCAAGAGCCAGCUAAACACACACCUCUGAGGUCAUGCUUACCUUUUGAUCACAGCAUUUGCAAAAUAUUCAAAGCCCUAGGAAGAACUGUAAAGUUUAAGGAACAUUUGUAGGAUCUGUCAACCUUCCAAGCUUUAUUGACUAAUGGGAAUACUUUUGUGUUCUUUUUCCCUUCUAUUCAACCCAAUUGGUGGGGUAUGGACAAGCUCUUAGACAAUUAGAAUUCCAUCAUUCAGAUUAAUAAACUCAUAAAACACCACAGAUUCUGGGCCAUUUUUUUUUAACCCAAACCCGAAGUCUUUUUGAAAAUUCUGC